AUGCGCGGAAUAUCCUCAAUACACAUUGCCGAAGAUAUUCUUCUGUGCAGUUCAGCUGAGGGUAGAAGCUUGUGUUUUCGCGUUGCCUGUUGAGCUCUCGCUGCAUUUACAACCAUGGCGUUGCUCAAACUCUCCAGCGCAAUCUGCUCCUCCGCGUUCGCUCUGGGCGUCGCGCCAUCGCUCCCACACGCUGCCUCCACAUCUUCUCGCUCCCUCUCAUGGAAGCGCUCAUCGCCCUUCCAUGGUGCUCUUCCCUCGACGGUCUCCUCGCCUAGUGGAUUGCCGUCCAGCGUUGUGGCUCCGCGCGCUUCUCAGGCCACUGGUGUCUCAGCAGAAGCUGAGAAUUUAAAUGAAAAGUAUGGAACCGAAGGAGUGAAGGUGCAAAGUGGGGAGGGUGGCCUUACCAAAGUUGUACUAUCAGGUCGAGACGGCAGUGAGGCAGAGGUUUACUUGUACGGAGGAUGCGUUACUUCGUGGAAGGCAGCUGGAGGCAAAGACCUGUUGUUCGUAAGGCCAGAUGCUGUCUUUACCGGAAAGAAGCCAAUUAGCGGGGGGCUUCCGCAUUGCUUCCCUCAAUUUGGUCCAGGAGUUAUUCAGCAGCAUGGAUUUGCUCGGAACGUUACAUGGGAUAUUGCAAGCACGCAAAACGAUGGCGGAUCUCCAACUCUUGUGCUAGGUUUGAAACCAAGCGACUACAGUCGCAGUAUAUGGAACUAUGAAUUCUCAGUCACUUUCAAGAUUGUGCUGGGAGAGAAGAAACUCACGACGGAGAUGGUUGUGGAAAACACCGACACAAAGUCCUUCUCUUUCACUACUGCACUUCACUCGUACUUCCGGGCUGACGUUUCGAAGACAUCAGUGACGGGAUUGAAAGGAUGCAAGAGAUUGGACAAGCCGUAUGAGGAUCCUGCGAAUCCUGUUGAGGGUUCAGAAGAUAGGAACGUGAUUGAGUUUCCAGGAUUUGUGGAUACCAUGUACAUGAACACCCCAAAUGUGUUGGUAUUGGACAACGGACUUGGCGAGAAGCUUUCCAUUAGAAACGAAGGAUGGACAGAUGCAGUGCUUUGGAAUCCCUAUUUGACGAUGGAGGCCUGCUACAAGGAUUUCGUCUGUGUUGAAAAUGCUCAACUUUCACCAGUGGAGCUCCAACCAGGACAGUCAUGGACAGCCAAGCAGAGCCUCUCAUUGUAAAUUUUUCGACUUCAUAGGUGGUUUUUUUAUAAUACAGAGAUCGCAGGAAUGCUAGAGGCUAUAUGGUGAACUAGAUGAAAUUCUAAUGACACCAAUAGCAUCAAUGACAAUCAAGUAGCAAAUGCUGUUGAAACGAAGACAAAUCUUUCAGUAGGUGUGACGUUCUGCACCUUUCCAGUAUUGAAUGAGUUUGGACGCUAGUGUUUGGUGUGAAGUUCGGGGGUUAAGCCAUCCAGCAUGAAUGUAUUGUUCAACAUUGUGAGCAUAAGUUUGGUUUCUACAAUCCUUUGGUGAAUUCAAAUUUGUAAAAACA